GGCCUGUUGCUCCUUUGCCUUUGCAGAGGCAUUUGUAGCACACCCAAAGUUCUCAUGAAAACUAGAAGAAAAUGGACAAGAAAUAUCAGAGAAAUUUGCCAGAUAUCCUUAGAGAUGUUUGGCCAGGUGAAUUAAACCCUGCUUCUGACUUGUGCAACUGCUCCAGCACUGCUUGUGCUAUUGGGACCAUCAUGGCAGUGGUGGCAGUAUUGCUGAUCCACAUGGACAGGAAAGCAGUCACAACCAUGAAGCCCAUGAGAAGUCUGACGUGAAAAGGUUGGCCUCCAGCUGCAGCACGGCCAAGGGGGAGUAAGUAACGAUGUGGAAUGGUUCCUGCCUGUUCCUCAGGAGCAGCGCAUCCACAGGGAUUGUCCCCACUGGAAG